CUUAAUAUAUUAUUUGUCUAUAUGAGUAUAAAUAUCACGUUAUCAUUUGCAUAAACAUUAUGAUAGUUCUUAGUUUAUAAUCAAAUACUGUUACAACGUUUCUUAACUGCAAGAUUUCGAAAUCAUUCUAUUAAUUUCAUUAUUAUUAUUAUGCUAAUACUAAUUUUUACCAUUGAACUAAAUAAACUGUUCUCUAAUUGUGAUUAAACAGGUUGUACUUAUAGAUCUAAUUAUAUAAGCAAGAUGGAGUAGCAUGCAGAUUCUAAAUCUCCCACCAAAAGCAAUGAUGUAAUACAAAUAAGAGUAUGAAAGUAAUACAGAUCGUAGGCAGUCUUCCCAGCUAUUUCACAGCCCUCCUUGUCCCAUAAGAGGAAUGGAGCAUCAGUUGUCUUGUCACCUACCCUAACAACCAGCUUGUAUCUUAAGGUACCCUCUUGCCACUUUGCACGACAUGUUUGACAUUGCAGACUUCCAUCCUCCAUGUUCAGCUUCUUAAAGCAGCCAUCCGAUCUACAGGAAUGGUAAUACCAAUUCCUGGUACUCUCAACGGACACAAUCCUUGCAGUGAAACAAAGCUAAAAGAGCACUGUAACUAAGCCAAACAUUCAAAGAUGGGCUUGUAAUGAAGAACCGAAGAUUGGAGCAUAGCAGAAUCAAGCUAAGUUUUAUACUGUAUGUCUAUUAUUGAAAUCUUUUUAAGUAUUUAUUAUUGGUUUAAUUAAAUCCUAAUUUUUUUUAGUUGAUUACUACAGUGGAGAAAAUCUAAAAGAGGACUGGAACUAAGCCUAAAAUUCAAAGAUGGCUUAUCAUGAAGAACAGAAGAUUGAAACAUUAGAGUUAAAGAUAAGUUGUAUACUCUAUGUCUACUUUUUUUUUUUCCAGUAUUUAUGAAUGUUCUCCUUAAGGCCUAUUAAAUUAAAAUAGAGCAUGUUAAAUCCUACUAUAUAUAACAGAAAAGCAGUACUGUAACUAUUGAAAUAUUAUUAGGAUUAUUAGAAUCUCAGUAUGUUUAAAUAGGGAAUUAAGGAUUGACUACUAUACUUCCAACUGAAAAAGUAGGUAAUAAGUAGAAAGGAAACUUACUGGCCAUCUUCAAUAAGAAAAUCGAGAAGUUUGGAAGGAAAACCAGCUAUGGUGAGUUGUUUAGGACUGUAGAACUCCACAACUAUUCCAAUGACAUCUAUAAUGAAAAUAAGGCCAUUAAAAAAGAAUAAAUUAGAAAAAUAAAACAUAGUAAAUAUAAGAUAGAGAAAAGAAAUAAUAGAAAAUAUAUAAAUCAUACCAAUCAAAUGCUUGUCAGACACACUACCAGACAUUAAGUCUGAAAAAGACUUAAUCCGAAACAUGAGGUUGGGAAAUCCCUUUCGCCUAUGUCUCUCCACAUGAGUUUCAUGAGUGAAUCUAAUCAUGUAUGUGUGAUCAGUGGUUUUGUACUGAUAGUAGUGUGAGAUUACUGCAAAAUCCUUUAUAGCAUAAACCUUGCCUUCUUUCAACAGUUUAGAAAACUGAUCGACACAAUCUUUUGGAAUAUUCCCAUGAACAUAUGUGCCCUAAAAAGACAGAAAUAAUUGUUUGGUUUAACAUUUUUGUAAUUAAGAUUUUCAGUUGUACUGGAAAAAAAUAGAUUACCUCACUGUCAUGAAACAAACAUUCUUGGCUUUUGAUUGCUUCUGAAUUUCUCCCUUCUGGUACAUUAUAGGUUCGAACCAGUCUUAAUCUUAUUGCCUUUUUGUAUGUAGAUAUCCUCAGGUCUUUACCUAGAAUGUAGAGUGGAGCCAUUGGCAGAUUUUCAGAAACAGCAAAUUUGAAAGAAAAGUGAAUCAAACGUAGCUUCAAAAUGAGAAUGGUGGUAGAGAAUGAAGAUGUCGUACCAAGUUUUUAUAGAGCCAAGUUUUGAAGGCUGAGAUCAAACCACCUUUACGCACGUUUGCAGAUGCAUUAUGAUGAUAUCUGGGAAGAAGAAACAACACAUAUGGAAAGCUGCAAAAAAUUUGAAUUCAUAUAUAUAUUUAUGGAUAGCCGUAGCUUAUAUAUGUAAUAUAUCUCUAAUAUGUAUGUAUUCGAUGAAGAUUUUUACAUAUAACCAUAUGCUUUGUUAGUAGCAUUUAAGUCAUCGACGGCUGAACAGAUUCCAAGUGAAUUGGGACUCCAAAAGGGGUUCUAAAUAUAGCUUUAGUUUUCAAUUCCAAUACAAACACAAUUAUUUGUUGCA